rnacentral:rRNA from 1 species
GACGAACGCUGGCGGCGUGCCUAAUACAUGCAAGUCGAACGAAGUGGCGAACGGGUGAGUAAUACGUGAGUAACCUGCCCUCCUUUUUGGGAUAAGCCUUGGAAACGGGGUCUAAUACCGGAUAAAGGGGGAUGGGCUCGCGGCCUAUCAGCUUGUUGGUGGGGUGAUGGCCUACCAAGGCGGUGACGGGUAGCCGGCCUGAGAGGGUGACCGGCCACAUUAGGACUGAGAGACGGCCCAGACGCCUACGGGAGGCCGCCGUGGGGGAAAUGGGACAAUGGGGGAAAGGCUGAUGCAGCGAAGCCGCGUGGGGGCUGCCGGCUUUCGGGUUGUAAACCUCUGUAGGUACCGAACGGGUACGUGGAGAAGAAGCGCCGGCUAACUACGUGCCAGCAGCCGCGGUAAUUC